UUGACCUCGGAUCAGGUAGGAAUACCCGCUGAACUUAAGCAUAUCAAUAAGCGGAGGAAAAGAAACCAACAGGGAUUGCCCUAGUAACGGCGAGUGAAGCGGCAACAGCUCAAAUUUGAAAUCUGGCCUCGGCCCGAGUUGUAAUUUGCAGAGGAUGCUUCUGGCGCGGUGCCUUCCGAGUUCCCUGGAACGGGACGCCACAGAGGGUGAGAGCCCCGUAUGGUCGGACACCAAGCCUGUGUGAAGCUCCUUCGACGAGUCGAGUAGUUUGGGAAUGCUGCUCUAAAUGGGAGGUAAAUCUCUUCUAAAGCUAAAUACCGGCCAGAGACCGAUAGCGCACAAGUAGAGUGAUCGAAAGAUGAAAAGCACCUUGAAAAGGGGGUUAAAUAGUACGUGAAAUUGUUGAAAGGGAAGCACUUGUGACCAGACUUGGGCCGGGCGGCUCAUCAGGGGUUCUCCCCUGUGCACUCCGCCCGGCACAGGCCAGCAUCGGUUUUCGCGGGGGGACAAGACCGCCGGGAACGUAGCACCCUCCGGGGUGUGUUAUAGCCCGGCGGACGAUACCCCCGCGGGGACCC
rnacentral:rRNA from 1 species